UGGACAUAUGACAUGUUUUUAUUUGUGGAGUAUAUAAUGGAGCAGGAAAAGUGGAAGUGGGACAGAAGAUUUGGACUCGACCUAAAGAACGGAAGGAUUAAAAACAUUGCAUCAAAUGGUUUCUUCUUCCCUAGUUUAUUUUCAUUAUUUUUUCUUUAGUAGUAUUUAAUUUCCUUUUUUUCUUUUUUGUUUUGGUAUAGUGAUUCAAUAUUUAGUAGUAGUGCAUUUGCAAUGGCUUUAAUGGGAAUGGAAACUGCCUCAUCAUCUCUCCCAAAUUCUUCUACUUCAUCUUCUAUUGAGCAACGAAAGUAUGAUGUUUUCCUCAGCUUUAGAGGCAAGGACACCUGAAACAAUUUUAUGGAUCAUCUAUUUACUGCUUUGAUAGAUAAAGGCAUUAACACUUUUAAAGAUGAUGAAAAACUUGAGAAAGGAAAAUCUUUCUCACUAGAGCUGUUGAAAUGAAUAGAAGAAUCAAGAUUUGCUAUUGUCAUUCUCUCAAAAGGCUAUGCAUUUUCUACUUGGUGCUUAGAUGAACUUGCAAAUAUCAUUGCGUGCAAGAAAGAUAUUGAAAUGGCAGUUUUACCUGUUUUUCACUAUGUUGAUCCAUCUAAUGUACGAAAACAAAUAGGAACUUUUACACAGGCAUUUGUUAAACAUGAAGAAAAGGAGGAAAAAACAAGGGCAGAUAAAUGGAGAGAUGCUUUGAGACAGGUGGGCAACCUCGCCGAAUGGCAUUUAAAGGAUACUAGUGCGGAUGCAUGACUUACUUGAAGAAAUGGGUAGGAACAUGGUUUGUCAAGAGUGCCUUGAUGAUCCUGGGAAGUGUUGUAGAUUGUGGGAUUACGAAGACAUUGACAAAGUGUUAAAAAGAAAUAGGGGGACGGAAGCACUUAAUGCCUUGGAUAUUCUGAGUACUUAUAAUGAACAACAAGUUGUAUGUUGGAACCCUGAGGCCUUUUCGAAGAUGGACAAUCUUAAAUAUCUUAGAAUUUAUGGCAUUCUCCACGUCCCCACACACCUUCCUAAUGAUUUAAGAAUUCUUGAUUGGAUUUUGUAUCCAUCAAAAUAUUUGUAGACAAGUUUCCAGCUAGUUGAGCUUGUUCAACUUUGUUUGCAACAAAGCAAAAUUGAACAACUUUGGACAGGAAUAAAGAAUUUUGACAAGUUGAAGUUCAUUGACUUGACUGACUCCUCGGACCUGAUUAUAACUCCAAACUUCACUGGUGUCCCAAAUCUUGAGAAAUUAGUUCUAAGGUGCACAAAUUUACGUGAGAUUGACCCAUCUAUUGGAAUUCUUAAAAAACUUAUUCAUUUUAAUUUACAAGGUUGUGAAAGACUAAUUCGUCUUCCGAGCAAGUUUGGAAUGGAGCCCCUUGUGACUCUUGAAAUUUCUAAUUGCUCCAAAGUUAAGGCAAUUCCAAAAUUUGUGGCAAACCCGAAAUUCUUACAAGAGCUUUCUUUGGAUCGCACUGUUGUUGUGGAACUAAUUAAAAACUAGCCAGAGAACCUAUGGAUAAUCAAAGGCCUAGAGAUACUUGAUUUGAGCAAAGCAGAUAUAGAAGAGCUGUCUUCAUCAAUUGAAUGUUUGACUGACCUUACUUCAUUGAUUCUAAGAUAUUGUGAGAAUCUUGUGAGCCUUCCUAACACCAUUUGUAGUUUGAAGUUGCUUAAGUCUCUUGAUCUUUUUGGAUGCUUAACAUUUCAUAACUUGCCAAAGAACAUAGGAAAUGUAAAAAGUUUGGAGUUGCUUAAUUUGUGUUGGACAGACAUAAGAGAUGUUCCUUCUUCCGUUGCCCUCCUUAAAAAUCUGAAAUAUCUAUAUAUCUAUAUAUGUAAGUCAACUGAAUUUUAUUCCCUUCCAAAAAGUCUUGAGUUGAUGGGCCUAGUAUUUCCUUCAUUAAUUUCUCGGACAACAAGUCAUCGGAUGACCUUUUUAUUGAAUCAGUUGAGCCCAAAAUUUGUUUCCAUGCUAAAAGUUCUUCAACCGUUACUGCCUUCCUUUUUAGGUCUUCAAUCUUUAACAUAUUUGCAUCUUAGUGACUUCGAUCUUACGUCAAUCCCCAAUGACAUUGGCUGCUUGUCCUCUUUAGAACACUUAAAUCUAAGUGGAAAUCAUUUUGUUUCCCAUCCUAAAAGCAUGUCUCACCUCUCUAAUCUUCAAAGACUCCAUUUGGAGGGUUGCACAAGGCUUCAAUCAUUGGAAAAUGUUCAUUACUAUUGAUAUUGUAAUUGCAAACAAUUGUAUCUCACUGUGGGCAUUGCCAGAACUGCAAUUUUAUACUUUUAGGUCAGAUCACUCCCAUUUGAAUUUCCAGUGUGUUAACUGCUUCAAAUUGGUUAGUUAUAAUCAAGGUAGCAGUAACAUGCUUCAGGUCUCUCUCUCUCUCUCUCUCUCUCUAAGUUCUAAACAUUAUUUUCCUAAAAAAAAAAAAAAAUCUAAACAUUAAUUAUGUUGUGUAUAUUUCAGGGAUAAAGUGGUAAACUACCAGACAUCUUUGACAUUAUUAUUCCUGAAGGUCACUUUCCAAAAAGGUUUGAAUAUGAAUCUAUAAGUCAUGAAUUGCAGGUACAAGUGCCUUAUGGGUGUGAUGAGCUGAUGGGAAUUGAGUUGUGCGUUGGUUUUUCAAUCCCAAAGGUUUCUUAUACCUCUGAAGAUUUUCUUCUUACAUGUUGGAUUAAAGUCAAUGGAUUUGAAAGCGCAUCACCAAUACGUUCUUCUUUUAGGACAAACUAUGGUGUAGUUAGUUCACUUCACCUUUGGCAGCUCUAUUUGUCUCCUCACUAUUUCGACUCCCAAUGGGGAGAAAAUUUUCAUCAAAUUGAUGGGAAUGGAUCCAAUAAAAUUGAGAUUAGAAUAAGUGCUUCACAUAACUUGUGGGUGAGGAAAGUUGGGAUUCAUUAUGAUAUUAAUAAUGAUUCAGCCUCCAAAGGUACCCAAAAUAAUUGAAGCCAUGAUGAGGAUGAUGGGGCUGGGCCUUGUGGAGAAGGCUAUUCAAAUGAUGAACCACCUCCAAAGACAUGGAGGAUGUAAAAUUGAAUCAAGUAUAAGAGAAUUUUUCUUUGCCUGUUGAAAUCAAAUUUUCCUGUUGUCUUGUUUGUGCACUUUAAUAUAAUGGAAGGAGGAGAUCAAACGUCCAAGAAUCUUGAAGCCCAUUGCGGUUGUAAUUAAGAGGGAUAGAAACCAAAGGCACGCUGAAGAAUUAGCAAACCUGGGCUCUUGCUGAAGUUGUCAAGGACUCAAAAUGAUUAUGGCGUAACCGUUUCUCCUGUACUUAGGGAAUGCCCAUUUGAUGGUUCCUUUUGUUGAUUUUGUGGAAAUGACAAUGCUAAAGUUGGGUUCACCUGAGCUUGAGAUCAGUUUUACCAUGACCUGCCUUCUGUGGCAUAAUUUUGACGAAAUUGGGCUAAGAGAAACUGCAAGUUCUGUCUAGACUUUUUGCAGCACCAUGGUGGAAUGUUAUUGAUGAAUCAAGCUGUUACAUUUAGUCUUGAUAUUGGAAUACAAGACCUCAUGGUGGACUGUUCCAACUUCAGGUUGAUAGUUCCAUUGAAGUUGAGUGAAAGCUAUUUGUUUGAGGCCAAGAAAGAUUUAAAAGUGCUCACACUGCAGGUUGUUUUAAACAAAUUUCUUCAGUUUUCAUGCAAUAUUAAAGAAAUGUAAUCUAACAGCACAUGGUUUAGUGGGGUAUGCAAAGGAGAAUGAGGAGAUCUCAUGAUUGGAGGACUGUCUUCUCUUUUUUCUUCCUACCUUACAGAAAAUUUAAGCUAAUUAAGAUCUGUCUCUUUAGCUUCU